UACGUAGGGUGCAAGCGUUGUCCGGAAUUAUUGGGCGUAAAGAGCUCGUAGGCGGUGUGUCGCGGCGGCUGUGAAAACCCGGAGCUCAACUCCGGGCCGGCAGUGGAUACGGGCAGACUGGAGUGUUGCAGGGGAGACUGGAAUUCCUGGUGUGGCGGUGAAAUGCGCAGGUAUCAGGAGGAACACCGGUGGCGAAGGCGGGUCUCUGGGCAACAACUGACGCUGAGGAGCGAAAGCGUGGGGAGCGAACACG
rnacentral:rRNA from 1 species